CAGCUGAUAGAAAUUCCAAGAGGAGGAAAGGUCAAGUUGUAUUCUUGUGGAAUGUUUGGCCUAAAUACUCCUUGGCCAGCUUGGGCUCUUCCCUAAGCUGGUUGCGCGCGGGCGUAAGCGACCCUAGAUCCGGCUAGUUAGUGAGGGGCGAAGGCCAACGCCCCCGCGCAUCUGAAGGCAGCCCCCCUCGGCGUCUUGGCCUCAGGCUGGGCUGGGUGAUAGCUCAGAGCGGCGCGCUGCGAGACGAAUAAGGAGGCGACCACUUGCUGGAGGGUCCUUCUGCCUUUGAGGGAGUCAGAAGUGAACAUCCAGUUCACUAUCAUCAGCAAACUUCCUCAGAGUACCUUUGAAUAUCCAAGUCAUUUAUGGACAAGUUGACUUAACGAAGGAGAACCAAAUGGCAUGGUGCUGUAGAUCUCCUGCAUGAAAGUCCCUGCACAGCCAAAGGCUUUUGCCUUAAUCCUUCUGUGUCAUUGCCUGUCUAGAAAAUGGAGAUUUGUCACAGUGUCCAUGAAAAACAUCAUCCUGGAGUUGUAACACUGGUGACAAGAGAACUGCAGGACAAUGUAUGCCUGAAGACCCAAAUGGAAAGGGAAGUAAAACUCAGAGGACAAUCCAGAAAAAGUCACUGGGU